rnacentral:rRNA from 1 species
UGCAAGUCGAGCGGACAGAUGGGAGCUUGCUCCCUGAUGUUAGCGGCGGACGGGUGAGUAACACGUGGGUAACCUGCCUGUAAGACUGGGAUAACUCCGGGAAACCGGGGCUAAUACCGGAUGCUUGUUUGAACCGCAUGGUUCAAACAUAAAAGGUGGCUUCGGCUACCACUUACAGAUGGACCCGCGGCGCAUUAGCUAGUUGGUGAGGUAAUGGCUCACCAAGGCAACGAUGCGUAGCCGACCUGAGAGGGUGAUCGGCCACACUGGGACUGAGACACGGCCCAGACUCCUACGGGAGGCAGCAGUAGGGAAUCUUCCGCAAUGGACGAAAGUCUGACGGAGCAACGCCGCGUGAGUGAUGAAGGUUUUCGGAUCGUAAAGCUCUGUUGUUAGGGAAGAACAAGUGCCGUUCAAAUAGGGCGGCACCUUGACGGUACCUAACCAGAAAGCCACGGCUAACUACGUGCCAGCAGCCGCGGUAAUACGUAGGUGGCAAGCGUUGUCCGGAAUUAUUGGGCGUAAAGGGCUCGCAGGCGGUUUCUUAAGUCUGAUGUGAAAGCCCCCGGCUCAACCGGGGAGGGUCAUUGGAAACUGGGGAACUUGAGUGCAGAAGAGGAGAGUGGAAUUCCACGUGUAGCGGUGAAAUGCGUAGAGAUGUGGAGGAACACCAGUGGCGAAGGCGACUCUCUGGUCUGUAACUGACGCUGAGGAGCGAAAGCGUGGGGAGCGAACAGGAUUAGAUA